UACGGGGGGAGCAAGCGUUGUUCGGAUUUACUGGGCGUAAAGGGCGCGUAGGCGGUCAGCACGAGUCAGUUGUGAAAUCUCCGGGCUUAACUCGGAAAGGUCAACUGAUACUGUGCGACUGGAGUGCAGAAGGGGCAACUGGAAUUCUCGGUGUAGCGGUGAAAUGCGUAGAUAUCGAGAGGAACACCUGCGGCGAAGGCGGGUUGCUGGGCUGACACUGACGCUGAUGCGCGAAAGCCAGGGGAGCGAACGGG
rnacentral:rRNA from 1 species